AACGAACGCUGGCGGCAGGCCUAACACAUGCAAGUCGAGCGAGGACUUCGGUUCUAGCGGCGGACGGGUGAGUAACGCGUGGGAAUGUGCCCUUCUCUACGGAAUAGCCCUGGGAAACUGGGAGUAAUACCGUAUACGCCCUAUUGGGGAAAGAUUUAUCGGAGAAGGAUCAGCCCGCGUUGGAUUAGGUAGUUGGUGGGGUAAUAGCCUACCAAGCCGACGAUCCAUAGCUGGUUUGAGAGGAUGAUCAGCCACACUGGGACUGAGACACGGCCCAGACUCCUACGGGAGGCAGCAGUGGGGAAUCUUAGACAAUGGGGGCAACCCUGAUCUAGCCAUGCCGCGUGAGUGAUGAAGGCCUUAGGGUUGUAAAGCUCUUUCAGCUGGGAAGAUAAUGACGGUACCAGCAGAAGAAGCCCCGGCUAACUCCGUG
rnacentral:rRNA from 1 species